rnacentral:lncRNA from 1 species
CAGAGGGAGCGGAGGCCCCGUUAUACAGAGGGAGCGGAGGCCCCGUUAUACAGAGGGAGCGGAGGCCCCGUUAUACAGAGGGAGCGGAGAGGCCGUUAUACAGAGGGAGCGGAGAGGCCGUUAUACAGAGGGAGCGGAGAGGCCGUUAUACAGAGGGAGGGAGAGGCCGUUAUACAGAGGGAGGGAGAGGCCGUUAUACAGAGGGAGAGGCCGUUAUACAGAGGGAGAGGCCGUUAUACAGAGGGAGAGGCCGUUAUACAGAGGGAGAGGCCGUUAUACAGAGGGAGAAGCCGUUAUACAGAGGCAGAGGCCCUUAUACAGAGGGAGAAGCCCUUAUACAGAGGCAGAGGCCGUUAUACAGAGGGAGAAGGCCGUUAUACAGAGGCAGAGGCCGUUAUACAGAGGCAGAGGCCGUUAUACAGAGGCAGAGGCCGUUAUACAGAGGGAGAAGCCCUUAUACAGAGGGAGAGGCCGUUAUACAGAGGGAGAAGCCGUUAUACAGAGGGAGAAGCCAUGUCACACACAGGAUGUGCAGUAAGUUGCUGGCACUGGGUAUAAAGUUGCUGCCAUGGCUCCCUCCAGCCCAGUCUGACACACAC